UGGCGGCAUGCCUAACACAUGCAAGUCGAACGAGACUUCGGUCUAGUGGCGGACGGGUGAGUAACGCGUAGGAACCUGCCAAGUAGUGGGGAAUAACAGUUGGAAACGACUGCUGAUACCGCAUACGUCCUUCGGGGGAAAGAUUUAUCGCUAUUUGAGGGUCCUGCGUUCGAUUAGCUUGUUGGCGGGGUAACGGCCCACCAAGGCGACGAUCGAUAGCUGGUCUGAGAGGAUGAUCAGCCACACUGGGACUGAGACACGGCCCAGACUCC
rnacentral:rRNA from 1 species